UACGUAGGGGGCAAGCGUUGUCCGGAUUUAUUGGGCGUAAAGAGCGUGUAGGCGGCCAAGCAGGUCCGCUGUGAAAACUCGAGGCUCAACCUCGAGACGUCGGUGGAAACCGUUUGGCUAGAGUCCGGAAGAGGAGAGUGGAAUUCCCGGUGUAGCGGUGAAAUGCGCAGAUAUCGGGAAGAACACCCGUGGCGAAAGCGGCUCACUGGACCGCAACUGACGCUGAGGCGCGAAAGCUAGGGGAGCAAACAGG
rnacentral:rRNA from 1 species